rnacentral:lncRNA from 1 species
AUAAAUUUGACAAGACGUAGACCUCACAGUAAUGAUGAAUAAUCUGCAAAUUGUGCAGUAGAUGCCAUCAAUACCUUGUGAUUCGCAAAUAAAAUUUGGGCUAGUAUUGGGAAAUGCCAUAAAUUUCAAAGGUGUGUGUGAAAUGAAGCAAAAUAUUCAUUUCACAACAAUUUUCUACAAAAAUACAUGCAAUAUAUGAAGAUCUCAGGGCUUCAAAUAGCAAUUUUACUUGUUGUAAAAUGAUGCAUAAUUAUAUUUUAUGCAACCUCGAAGACCCCGAC